UACAGAGGGGGCAAGCGUUGUUCGGAAUUACUGGGCGUAAAGGGCGCUUAGGCGGCCCGCUAAGUCUAACGUGAAAUCCCCGAGCUCAACUCGGGAACUGCGUCCGAUACUGGCGGGCUUGAAUCCGGGAGAGGGAUGCGGAAUUCCAGGUGUAGCGGUGAAAUGCGUAGAUAUCUGGAGGAAUACCGGUGGCGAAGGCGGCAUCCUGGACCGACAUUGACGCUGAGGAGCGAAAGCUAGGGGAGCAAACGGG
rnacentral:rRNA from 1 species